rnacentral:lncRNA from 1 species
GGACAAAAGGUGAUAUGUCCAUUGUAGUUUGAUUCACUCUUCAAUUCUCCUGGAAAAGAAACAGCAUACUCAAAUAGUUUAAGCAUAUAGAGAUUUAUUAGGGGUUAAAGAUAACUUAAAAUUUGAUGGAAAGGUGAAGGCAGAUUUUCAACUGAACUUCAGGAAUGGCUCUCAGAACCAAACUGCAAAGAACCAAACUGCAAACUAGCUCCCUAAGGGUGAAACUCAGAAAUUUGAAAACACCGAAUCAGUAGGUUGUAAGGUCUGUGAAAGCUGUAGCCAGUCCUUCAUCUUUGUGUAUAUGGCUCCCAUCACCGCAUCUGGCAUAUGGAAGGAUAUCAACACAUGCUUGUGAAAUGUUGAAGAUAAUCAGACUUUUACAAAUGUUUGACUCAGAUGAAAACGUAUUACAAUACAAUUUCAUUAUGGCUAUGAUAUGAGAAGGAAACAUAAUCCACUUUCAGACAGAAUACUCCAAGAAAGGCCAUUCUUCUGUUGCGAUCAGCUCUGGGCUUCCUGUCACCACCCAGCUUGCCCCCUAUCUGCUUGGGACUGCCUAAUCAGCCAGAAGACCACAAAAAAGGGCACUCAUCCUUUGUCACCUGAAACAGGACAGAUGUGAAGCACUUUCAACAACUUGUGCUUGAGGCCUGGGAUUCUGUAGAGCAUGUUCCAGUGUACAAGAGGAUUCAAGUCCCUGGCAGCCUGCUUUCUAUCCAAAGCUGGGUCACCUCUCUUGGGACCACCAGGACAUUGAAUUGCUUUCCCAUUCCUGUGGACUUCUGAAAUGGGCCCACCUGAGACAAGAACCCAGAGUGCCUAGCACCUUUAGGACGGGCACAGAACCACCCACCUAGGAACCGAUGACUGCAACCCAGGAGGAGACACAGAUGCCCCCAGAGAUGCCCCCAGGUCACAGCCUCCCUUGAGCCCUGCCAAUGCACUCCCUGACUGCCUCACUUGGCUGGAUCACCCUGCUCCAGGAACAGACAACUGGAGCCUGAGAAAUCAGAUGAUGGAGACCUACCAAGCAUCACCCUCCUCCUGCCUCCCAACAGCCACCACCCAGUGUUCCAAGUCUUGUUGGGAGUAGAGCCCAGGAGCAGUGGCUGAGUUGAUGCAAGGCUGCCUCUGCCACCUGCCUUUGGCCUCCUUGAGAUUUCUUUCACUGAGACUCUUCAAUGGGUGAUCCUGUGCCAAAAGGUAUUGCUACCAUGACACCUCUAGGUUUGUGAAACACAAUGGUAGAGAUCGUGCC